CCGGGCUCAACCUGGGAACUGCAUUCCCCAGGGUGACUGGUUCCAAGCUUAGAGUAUGGCAGAGGGGGGUAGAAUUCCACGUGUAGCAGUUGAAAUGCGUAGAGAUGUGGAGGAAUACCGAUGGCGAAGGCAGCCCCCUGGGCCAAUACUGACGCUCAUGCACGAAAGCGUGGGCCGAGCAAACAGGAUUAGAUACCGCUGGUAGUCCACGCCCUAAACGAUGUCAACUAGUUGUUGGGGGAUUCAUUUCCUUAGUAACGUAGCUAACGCGUGAAGUUGACCGCCUGGGGAGUACGGUCGCAAGAUUAAAACUCAAAGGAAUUGACGGGGACCCGCACAAGCGGUGGAUGAUGUGGAUUAAUUCGAUGCAACGCGAAAAACCUUACCUACCCUUGACAUGGUCGGAACCUUGGAGAGAUCUGAGGGUGCUCGAAAGAGAACCGAUACACAGGUGCUGCAUUGGCUGUCGUCAGCUCGUGUCGUGAGAUGUUGGGUUAAGUCCCGCAACCUUUCGAGCGCAACCCUUGUCCUUAGUUGCUACGCAAGAGCACUCUAGGGAGACUGCCGGUGACAAACCGGAGGAAGGUGGGGAUGACGUCUAAGUCCUCAUGGCCCUUAUGGGUAGGGCUUCACACGUCAUACUAAUGGUCGGAACAGAGGGUCGCCAACCCGCGAGGGGGCUAGCUAAUCCCAGACCAAACCGAUAGCGCGUAGUCCGAAGAUUGCACUCUGCAACUCGAGUGCAUGAAGCUGGAAUCGUCUAGUAAUCGCGGAUCAGCAUGCCGCGGUAGAAUACGUUCCCGGGUCUUGUACACACCGCCCGUCACACCAUGGGAGUGGGUUUUACCA
rnacentral:rRNA from 1 species